GAGGGUAUUCAAACGUGACCAAAUGUGAUUGUGAAAGUUUUCACAAAUCAGGCUCUAUCUAGAACAAGUAAAUUUGCAUGAACACAGACUGCAUGUUUGCUGAAAUGUGAAAGUGAAGACUGAAAAGUGAAGAGUGUUUAUUUGUCAUCGUCUCGACUCAACUGCUAUGAAAAAAUCACAAAUCAGACUGGUCAAGAUGAGAGUGGUUUCAGUCUUCUAGGUGUUCAACUUUUGGAGCUAUUUGUAUUAGAAAAUGAAGAGUCAUAAAAUUUAAACGACCAAUUGCAGAGUGGAGGAUGAUGUCAUCUGAAUUCACAAAUCAUGAAGAAUAACAUGCAACAUUAUUUACAUGUCUACGACAGCGCAUAGCCUGUUUAUAGCCAAUCAAAGUCUGAAUUUCAAACCGCAAACUAUCUUUACUGCGGUAAAUGAUGAAGCCAAGAUGGAGACCUCAAAAUCAUGUCCUGUGUUGUAAGUUCAAAUUUAUAAAUCACAUUAGUUCUAUUAGCAGUUAAUUAGGUUUGAUUACCCCAUGAUUACGGUGUCUUAAAUUAUAUUACAUGAACUAUCUUUGUAAUGAUUUUAUUUACACAUACUGUAAAGUCAGUGGUCAACUAGAUAUGGCAUCUGUAAUGUCUGUUAAUGUGCCUGUUUUAGUUGUACACCAGUAGUCUUAACAAUGAUGAGCUAUUACACAUGUCUAUUACCUAUUACACAUUACAAAUGUCUGACAUUAUUAGCCAGUAUUCAGUUACACUGUAAAAAGUGGUAACCUGCAAUUAUUACCUUAAGGAACCUGAUUUAACCCUUGAAAAUCAGUUUGUUGUUUUAAAAUGUAUUCAGACGUUCAGACAUCAAUUAUAUAUUUUUACUUGAAUAAAACUAGUUUAAUUUAAAUGUUACCAUAUAGCACAUCUUGAGGUUUAUAUAAAAAAAUAAAUUAAAAAAAUCAGUGCAAAAAAUAAACAUAAAAUGUGCAUCAUAUGUGGUAACAACUUAAUGAACUUUUUUUAAGUCAAAAAUGCCAUUUGCUAUGACUAAAUUAUCAAGCUAAUUUAGUGGCAAAACUAAACAAACAAAAUAGAACAUUUUGCAAACAAACACAAUCUGCUUCGCAAAGAAAAUCCCGACUCUCAAACAAAUAAAAAGCAAUUUGCAAAUACAAAGGGCCAUUUGAGAACAUUUUUUAGUUUUUCUAGGGUAGCUGUCAUGUAAAACUGGCAUUUAUUUUUUGCAAAUAUAUUUAAUAAUACUGAAAGGAAUUCAUGAAGAUUGAACCUAGAGCUCACAACAUCUGUUUUUCUCUCCCUGCAGGGCAUGAGACUGAUGGACCAACUUUAGUGCUUAUAACCUCUAAAUAAUAAUCACAGAAUGAAUGAAGCUAUGCCUGUUUUCAGACAACAGAAAUCUUCUCUCUGCCUCAUAAAGGCAUCACAGCAUGUAUCUCUACCAGGACAAUUGUGACCAACUCAUGAGGUUAACAGUUAAAAAGCAGCUACACUAUGUUUUCCAGCUGUGUUCGGUGAGGAUACUUCUCUCCGCUUCUCCACUAAACACAUGAGUGAUAAAAGAAUGAAUUUGAAUUAUUUACUUGGGUAAAUGCAGAAACAUUUUGCCCAUCACACUUUAUUGCAGGUCACCACUUUUUUUCUGUGUAUAAGACAUGAGUUAUAAGUUUAUUUUUUAUCAUAAAAGCAAUUAAUAUUAACAUUGUGUUGACAAAAAUUCUGCUCGACACGUGAGACCUAAGACAUUUAUUUGUCAGGUGGAGUGAUGAAGAGUGCCAUACCAGAAAACAC